UACGUAGGGGGCAAGCGUUGUCCGGAUUUAUUGGGCGUAAAGAGCGUGUAGGCGGCCAUGUAGGUCCGUUGUGAAAACUCGAGGCUCAACCUCGAGACGCCGAUGGAAACCAUGUGGCUAGAGUCCGGAAGAGGAGAGUGGAAUUCCUGGUGUAGCGGUGAAAUGCGCAGAUAUCAGGAAGAACACCCGUGGCUAAGGCGGCUCUCUAGUACGGUACUGACGCUGAGACGCGAAAGCCAGGGGAGCGAACGGG
rnacentral:rRNA from 1 species